UACGUAGGGUGCAAGCGUUUGUCCGGAAUUAUUGGGCGUAAAGAGCUCGUAGGCGGUUUGUCGCGUCCGCUGUGAAAACGCGAGGCUCAACCUCGCGCCUGCAGUGGGUACGGGCAGACUAGAGUGCGGUAGGGGAGAUUGGAAUUCCUGGUGUAGCGGUGGAAUGCGCAGAUAUCAGGAGGAACACCGAUGGCGAAGGCAGAUCUCUGGGCCGUAACUGACGCUGGAGGAGCGAAAGCGUGGGGAGCGAACAGG
rnacentral:rRNA from 1 species